GAUGAACGCUGGCGGCGUGCCUAAUACAUGCAAGUCGAGCGAACGGACGAGAAGCUUGCUUCUCUGAUGUUAGCGGCGGACGGGUGAGUAACACGUGGAUAACCUACCUAUAAGACUGGGAUAACUUCGGGAAACCGGAGCUAAUACCGGAUAAUAUUUUGAACCGCAUGGUUCAAAAGUGAAAGACGGUCUUGCUGUCACUUAUAGAUGGAUCCGCGCUGCAUUAGCUAGUUGGUAAGGUAACGGCUUACCAAGGCAACGAUGCAUAGCCGAGCUGAGGGGGGGAGCGGCCACCCGGAAACUGAGAAACGGUCCAGACCCCACGGGGGGGGAGGAGUGGGGAAUCUUCCGCAAUGGGCGAAAGCCUGACGGAGCAACGCCGCGGGAGUGAUGAAGGGCUUCGGAUCGUAAAACUCUUUUAUUAGGGAAAAAAAUUUGUGUAAGUAACUGUGCACAUCUUGACGGUACCUAAUCAAAAAGCACCGGCUAACUACGU
rnacentral:rRNA from 1 species